rnacentral:tRNA from 1 species
AUUUAAUUAGUUUAUUAAAAUAUUGAUUUGUGGUGUCAAAGAUAUAUUAGUGUAUAUUAAAUU